AUACUUACUGGCAGGGGAGAUACCAUGAUCAUGAAGGUGGUUUUCCCAGCAUGAGGCUCAUCCAUUGCACUCCAGAUGUGCUGAUCCCUGCAAUUUCCCCAAAUGUGGGAAAUUCAACUGCAUAAUUUGUGGUAGUGGGGGACUGUGUUUGUGCUUUCCCCUG
rnacentral:snRNA from 1 species